AGGAAUGAAUGGGACAGAGGAGGAAGGCGCCUACGACUCCCGUGAUGCCCUGCGAUGGCUUAGGCUGAUGCCUGACGGGAGCUGUAGUUCUCUCUGAAACCUCCCCUUCUGGAAGGCGGAUGGGAGCGUCACCGUGAGUCGCUAAGCCCCAUCCUUCAGUGGGCGCUAGCUAGGAAAAUCAUGACUUAGGCAUUAAUUGUGUUAGGAAGGAAGGGAGAAGAAAAGGAGAGGGAGGCAGGACAAGGGGAGAGGCUCCCACCAUGCUGUGCCAAGGCGAGAGCGAGCUCUUGGGGUUGCCAUGGAUGGAAAAAGAGCUGCUGUUCCUGUUUAAUGUGGAGCGGCGUUGGUGCCGCGACCGGGGCGUGGGCAGAGAGCCGGGGGAGCUGGACCCCUUUCCUGGCGACACACUUUGUGCAUAACAUUGAUUGUAUAGGUUAGGGAACCUCCCUUCCAUGGCACUUAAGGCCGCAUCCUCGGCUCCAGCCCAGGACAGAUAUUCUGGCUCUCAACAAACGGGCCGCCCCACUGCAGUCAAGGGUCACAGCGAACUCCGCCCGGAAAAAGCGCGCAGCACGCGUGGGAGGGGGCGGAUUCAAGAAGAGACGGGGUCUAACGUAUCUUUGCGUCUUUUACCACAAACUUGAGGGCCGAGUUGACUCGGAUGAAACUUAAUGUCCGCCUGUGUUUGCUUGGUGCUUAGUAAAACAGCAUCCAGCUUCCUCUAGAGGUGCCUGCAGGUACCCGUGUGAUUGACACCACGGCUUUGGACGUGCGGCUUUCUCGAAAGCAUCCUUGGGCUCCCGGGACCUUUGCUCCUCGCAGCCACUCAAGAUGGUGCAGGUGAUGAGCACCAGGGGGCGCCCGACGGAGGAGGAAGCCAAACCCAGAUGGCGGUUGAAAGUCUAGCCCAACGAUAGGAGCGGGAAGUGCUGAAACGUGCGCAACCGCGCCGAGCGCGCGCGCUCCGCUCAGUCUCGGACCCCCGAGCCCGCUGGGCACCCGCUCCGGAGCGCACGGCCCGUGCGGCCGCACAGGGAGGACAGCGGUUGGAAGCAACCGGACUUAUCAAGUAAAGAAUUGACCUCUCUGUAAUCCAUAUAAGACAUCAACGGGUAGGAGAAAGAACCCAGGACACCAUGGAUGCACUAAGCUCAGAGAUUUGACUUCCUAGUGGAUUCCUGUGACACACGGUUAUUACCUAAAGACAGAAAACAUUCCCAAAAAGACUGACUAAGAUGUUUUCAAGUGGACAGGUCCUCUCAAGAAGCAUCUUCUGGUCAUCAAAUUACAUGAACGGAACAUCAUGUAAAAAUAAGGCACCAGCGACAGUCAAUGUUGUGUCGAAUAAAGUCUGACCUGCUUAAUCCUGACAAGAGUCCACUGCACAGUUAAAAAUUGACAGUAGUCGUGGAACUUGCAGUGGCAAUUUGAGUGACUGAAUCUAAACGAGGCCAGCAGUCCUAGUCCUCACAUUUAAUUUAGGAUUAAACAGUUUUCUAGCUGGGUUUGCAUGUCUGUGUUUGAAAGGUGAUGCAAUGACAUACUCAACCUGGUUAUUUUACUGUAGUUUUAAUUCUUAAAAUGUGUUAGUUGGUCUUUAAUGGUUAUUGUUCACGACAGAUCCACUCUAAUAGCAUCCUGUAUUUUCCUAGUAUCUUUCAAACUAAAAGCUUUUCACAUA